rnacentral:misc_RNA from 1 species
UCUCCGUAGGUGAACCUGCGGAGGGAUCAUUACUGAGUGAGGGCCUUCGGGCUCGACCUCCAACCCUUUGUGAACACAACUUGUUGCUUCGGGGGCGACCCUGCCGUUCGCGGCGUGGGGCCCCCGGUGGCUCACACCUCAACUCUUGCAUCUGUGCGUCUGAGUAACAUAUUGAAUCAAUCAAAACUUUCAACAACGGAUCUCUUGGUUCUGGCAUCGAUGAAGAACGCAGC